rnacentral:lncRNA from 1 species
AUUUUUUUUAUUUUUCCCCAAGUUUUCCGUGCAAUAAAGUGAAAUUUCCCAACCGAUCUCUCGCGAAGGAAAUAAACCAAACCGCGUUUUUAGCAUGGGCGGCCCUUUCCUCCCCUCACGCUCUGGGCCAAUAAUCUCCUUUUUCCCACCCAAAAAGGGAUUUUGGCGUUUUUUCCUCUCACCCAAAAUGCCUCCUGCACCCCAGAUCUCCACAUGGGAUGUGGGGGAACCUUUUCUUGCUUAUUUUCCACCCAAACAGGGAUUUUGCCACUUUCUUCCCUCACCCAAAAUCCUGCACCUCCAAAUCAUCCCUUGAAAACGAUUCCUUUUCUUGUUUAUUUUCCACCCAAACAGGGAUUUUGGUGUUUUCCCCCCUCACCCAAAAUGCCUCCUACACCCCCCAAAUUAUCCUCUCAGGAUUUGGGGAAUCCUUUUCCCGUUAAUUUUUUCACCCAAACGGGGAUUUUGGCAUUUUCCCCCCACCCAAAAUCCUGCAUCUCUCCAAAUCAUCCCUUGAAAAGGAUGUGGGAAAUCCUUUUCUUGUUUAUUUUCCACCCAAACGGGGAUUUGGGCACUUCUCCCCCUCACCCCAAAUUCCCCAAUUUCCCAAUUUCUCUCCCCAAAUUCCCCCAAUUUUCAUCCAGCAAAGCCCACGGCUAAAACUGCCUUUAGUUUAUUUCCUCCCCUUCAAUAAAUUAUAUAUAUAUAUACAGUCUGAACUCAACAUUUAUGUGUGUGUAUUUAUAUUUAUCCAACGUUCUCACACAACAACAAAAAAAAAACAACUUUCUUUUGAAGAGGGCAUGUGAAACUAAGUUUUUAUUUUUAUUUUUUUUUUUCCCAGUAACUCAGUAUAAUAAGCACUGGUAUUUUUGUAUUAAAAAAGAAAAAAAAAAACCCAAAAUACGAAACAAAAGACUGAAUAUUAUGUGGUAUGCAUGACAUUAAAAAACAAAAACAAUGGUGGUUUCAAAGCAAUAUGUACCCUGGUGUGUUUGCCAUAUCCUAGAGUCCAGCUUAAAGUGCACCUGAUCUGUAUUGCAUUUUGAUAUUAAUCUCUAUGUACAAUGUUUUGCAUGUAAUUUAUAUGGAUCUUGGGAGAAAAAAACAAAAAAAAAA